rnacentral:rRNA from 1 species
GAUGAACGCUGGCGGCGUGCCUAAUACAUGCAAGUCGAGCGAACGGACGAGGAGCUUGCUUCUCUGAUGUUAGCGGCGGACGGGUGAGUAACACGUGGAUAACCUACCUAUAAGACUGGGAUAACUUCGGGAAACCGGAGCUAAUACCGGAUAAUAUUUUGAACCGCAUGGUUCAAAAGUGAAAGACGGUCUUGCUGUCACUUAUAGAUUGAUCCGCGCUGCAUUAGCUAGUUGGUAAGGUAACGGCUUACCAAGGCAACGAUGCAUAGCCGACCUGAGAGCGUGAUCGGCCACACGGGAACUGAGGCAGGGCACAGACUCCUGCGGGAGGACGCAGUAGAGAAUCUUCCGCAAUGGGGGAAAGCCUGACGGAGCAACGCCGCGUGAGUGAUGAAGGUCUUAGGAUCGUAGAACUCUGUUAUUAGGGAAGAACAAAUGUGUAAGUAACUGUGAACAUCUUGACGGUACCUAAUCAGAAAGCCACGGCUAACUACGUG